AGAGUUUGAUCAUGGCUCAGAGCGAACGCUGGCGGCAGGCCUAACACAUGCAAGUCGAACGAACUCUUCGGAGUUAGUGGCGGACGGGUGAGUAACACGUGGGAACGUGCCUUUAGGUUCGGAAUAACUCAGGGAAACUUGUGCUAAUACCGAAUGUGCCCUUCGGGGGAAAGAUUUAUCGCCUUUAGAGCGGCCCGCGUCUGAUUAGCUAGUUGGUAAGGUAAUGGCUUACCAAGGCUACGAUCAGUAGCUGGUCUGAGAGGAUGACCAGCCACAUUGGGACUGAGACACGGCCCAAACUCCUACGGGAGGCAGCAGUGGGGAAUCUUGCGCAAUGGGCGAAAGCCUGACGCAGCCAUGCCGCGUGUAUGAUGAAGGUCUUAGGAUUGUAAAAUACUUUCACCGGUGAAGAUAAUGACUGUAGCCGGAGAAGAAGCCCCGGCUAACUUCGUGCCAGCAGCCGCGGUAAUACGAAGGGGGCUAGCGUUGCUCGGAAUUACUGGGCGUAAAGGGAGCGUAGGCGGACAUUUAAGUCAGAGGUGAAAUCCCGGAGCUUAACUUCGGAACUGCCUUUGAUACUGGGUGUCUUGAGUGUGAGAGAGGUAUGUGGAACUCCGAGUGUAGAGGUGAAAUUCGUAGAUAUUCGGAAGAACACCAGUGGCGAAGGCGACAUACUGGCUCAUUACUGACGCUGAGGCUCGAAAGCGUGGGGAGCAAACAGGAUUAGAUACCCUGGUAGUCCACGCCGUAAACGAUGAUUGCUAGUUGUCGGGAAGCUUGCUUCUCGGUGACGCAGCUAA
rnacentral:rRNA from 1 species